GUACUGAAAACAGGGGAGGGUGCUGGAGUACUGAAAACAGGGGAGGGGCUGGAGUACUGAAAACGGGAGAGGGCUGGAGUACUGAAAACGGGAGAGGGCUGGAGUACUGAAAACAGGGGAGGGGCUGGAGUACUGAAAACAGGGGAGGGGCUGGAGUACUGAAAACAGGGGAGGGGCUGGAGUACUGAAAACAGCAGUCUUUUUUGCUCAUCUUUAUCAAGGGUGCCAAUAAUUAUGAACCUGACUGUAGGUCAGUUAUUUUUUAUACAUACUUUCUGUCUGGUUUUAUUCAUUUAGGUUAACGCUGAAAGCUAUUUUCCAUCACGAAAAUGAAUUACAUGUCCUGAAGUCUUAUGGUUAAAACUAGAAGGAUUUGUUUGGUCAGUGUGAGGCCAGUGCUGGUUGUGUAUUGAUUCCCUUUGAGAGAAAGAAGACAUCUCAUUUCACCCUGUGGGGGCUCCCCUGCCCUGCUCUCUGCCACUGGUCAAUCCCUUCUUCACCCAUUGAAUUCUGACAAUGGAAAGACGGUCUCUCCCAGUUUCUCCUUACCUACCCUGCCUGGGAGAUUAGUCUUUAUAGCUUUGAAAUGAACACAAAUGACUUGCCGGACAAAGACAGUCGUCAUUCUGUUUUUAGCGGAAGAAUCUGAUGGAGUUUUUCGUGUUUCCCUCCACAGAGAGCGAGCAGCCCCUGCAGAGAGCGCCACAGAAAGGCAAGAGCAAAAGGAGAGGCUUGUCUCCCCCACCCCCCUCUAAGAAGGCCAAAGCCCUGGGCCCAGCUUGGAACACCAUUGACAAGUUCUUCAGGUGAUGCAGUUUAGGUGACAACACACACACUACUCCCAGAGGAUCCUGUGUAUGAAGUAUUCUGCUCAGACAGUGACAAUGACUGACUGUCACCUUGAUCUCAGGUGAAUGGAGUGCUGGUGACCUCACUAGCAACCAUCCCUACCUACCUAGUACUUCUUGGAUUGCUGGGAAUUUGGAUUGCUUACUCAACCAUUGAAGAUGCACUUCUUUCAAAAUAAAUGCAUUUUUAUCUCUUGUGCAGUUUUUUUGAAGUCAUAAUGGUCAUAAGUUAGCAGGCAAAACCUUUGCAGGGGUUUUAGUGAUGGUUGCUGAUGCAAAGCAACCACUUGCAUAAUGCACUUAUUAAAAAUAGCCUCUGAUCUACAUCUUGCUAGCUACUGUUUUGUGUUUAUUCAAGCAGAUAAGGUAGUGACGUAGUUCCUCUAUGCCAAACUGACGUUCUAUUAUGUACAGAGGUGUUAAGCCGACCAUUGAAACCACAGGUGGCACCUUAAUUGUGGUGGCUGAGCUCAUAGUAAUCACUGGGAGAGAAUAAAUGAAAUGGUGGUCAAACACGUGGUUUUCAUGUGAUUGAUACCAUUCCAUUUACCCAUUCCAGCCAUUAUUAUGAGCUGUCCUCCUGUGAUUGAAACAUUGUAGGAGGCAACCCUGGUGUCUAGAGAGACUACAACUUUCUGCUGAAUGAGGGAACUCUGUUUUUGCAUCUUGUGUUUUGCACCGUUUUAAAUGUAAUGAAUAAUAAGCUUUAAUGGAGUUGAUCCUCAGUCUUUUAAACACGUGUAUGUGAAGAAGAGGGUUGUGAAUAGAAUACCAGUAUGAGAUGGUGUAUUUUUGCAUAAGAUAACUUAAAUAUAGGCUAUAUAUAAAAAAAAAAAAGUAUAUUAUUGUAUUCAAAUUUCAUAGGGAAUUUUUCUUGCGGAAAAUAAAACUUGUGGCUCAAUUCAUUAUUCUCCUUGUGUCAUUGUGAUGAGCAUUUAAUGUGUACAGUACAAAUGAGGCUAUUACGAUAGAAUCGUCUAUCGAUUCAGAUUGACAGCCAUCGUCAAUGGUGACAACAUCGUGAUGUGACGGACGAUGGUUUAGCCUAUUUGAACUUGACUGACGCCACGCAGAACGCCUAGAACGAAGUCGGUCAGGGCAGCACACGAGGGACAUUCCCAAUAAUCUAUCUUCCUAUUUGCUAUAGCCUAUUUCAGCGCAAAAUGUCCAGUCAGAAAAUAUCCUCUCUCGCUCUGUCAGAUACAUGGGCCUCAUAGUCUAAACCUAUUCAUUUUUUAUAACGGACACUCCUUAACUAUAUUGUGUCUAGCU
rnacentral:lncRNA from 8 species